CCUGAGGAAUGCUCAGCAAUUGGCAUGUGGGAUUUCUAGAAAGAUGCAUCCUCCAGACUCCAAGGUAAAACAUCCCGAUAGGCAUCCAAACAAUGUGGGGAAGAGAUGGGUGUUUCAGCCAAGGAUGAAACCCAGCAAUUCAAGUUGUGCAUUUUUUAUCGACUGCUGAAUAUGAAAAAGCCAUAGCCUCGUCUACUUCUCCACCGGAUUCUCCGACUCUCCGUCACCAAGCGUGCUCCAUCCGAAUCGGAAUGCCAGAGUACGAAUUUUCCCUUCGAAAUUGAUUUCCC
rnacentral:lncRNA from 1 species